CAAUGCGCAACGUUUUGCGGAGUCUCGCCCCCACCCGGGUGGUGUGUACUAUCAGGCCGGGGUAUCUCUUCGUAAUCCGAGCGAAAUGCAUCGUCCAAAUUGUGCGCUAGGUUUUUCCUCAGUUUCUAAACUUUCUCCUCUCGUCCCUCCCUUUCUCCCUCCGUCCGCCUCUUUUGCAUUUGUGCUCCGAUCCGGAAAAUCAGCACAGUAAGGAUCGCGCGCGAAAAUUGCCAACUCGCUGGACGGAUCACUACGGACGUUUAUCAAUUUCGGAACAUUUACGUUGCGAGCGAAUGUCGAGCCGAGCGCGGUGAGAUGAGCGGCGAACGGAGCGCAGCGAGAGAUGAGGCGAGCUGAACGAACGUACGCAUGCAAUGGACGCAUCCUUGAAAAACGCUGACUUAUUUCGGGCGGUGCGCACGCACGCACGCACGCAUGCAUGCCAGCGGAGGAACGUUCCCGACGACAUAAGCGAUGGAGUGUUAUGCGAAGGGCCUCCGCCCUGGCCCAUUUUACGGCCUUGAAGGAACCCCGGCUUCACCUCGUCAUCAUCGUGACGACGCGAGCCGCUGCGAGCGCGAGGCAAAAAUGUCGGACAUCGGAUAUCAACAUCCGCCGACGAGCCGGAGGGUGUUGAAUCUCUUACGAUCAGAAUAUCUGCUGCAGUAUUGGUCAAGCUUGAACAGCAGACCAUCGAGAAAAAAUAAACAGGCUUUUAGGAUAAAGAUUUCACGUACUUGGGCUCCGAUGAGUAAUGGAACGCACAAAAAAAAAAGAGACAAAGAGAUAAGACGAUGAUACAAAAGCGACGCGCCCGUAGCGCAUAUGACAUUGUGUUUCACGUUCCUCUUCUGUAAAACGCGCCGAUUGUAAAACCAACACACCAUCCGAAGGCAGCUACAUACUUGUAUUAUAAACACCUAGUUAUAAACCACUCGGUUUCUCCCUCGCAGCCCUUUUUACAAAAUUGCCGGAAUAUUUUUUGCGAGUGUGCACGAGAAAAGAUGCUGUUACUUAAAUACUGAUCGACACAUUAAAUUAGAGUGUAAAAUAUU